rnacentral:misc_RNA from 1 species
AACGCACAUUGCGCCCUUUGGUAUUCCGAGGGGCAUGCCUGUUCGAGCGUCAUUUCAACUCUCAAGCUUACGCUUGGUAUUGGGUGUUGUCCUGCCUAUACGUUAGGCGGGACUCGCCUGAAACUCAUGGGCGGUAGUUCAUUACACCGAGCGUAGUCAAAUCUUUACCUCGCUCUUGGACGUUUUGUUAACUGACCUGCCUAAUAACCCCCCCUAAAUAUUCAAAGUUUGACCUCGGAUCAGGUAGGGAUACCCGCUGAACUUAA